GGCAGAGGUUGCAGUGAGUCGAGAUUGCGCCACCGCACUCCAGCCUGGCGACAGAGCGAGACUCCUUCUCAAAAAAUAAAUAAAUAAAAUAAAAUAAAUCAAGUCCAAAAUGAUACUAAGAAAACAAAAACAGGAGAAAAGAAAGCUCCCUUCCUUACCUAGAGUUCCAACUAAUAAAUAUGAGAGAGUUAGAAACUCAACAUUUUAUAAUCAAUGCAGAAUCAUUGAUUGAGGCAAAAAUCAUCAAUGAAUACUAAAAUUAUUGGGUGAAAGUUUAUUGACAGACAAGAUUAAAUAAUACCCCACAAAUUAGUUAUCAGUUACAAAGAGAAAAUGGUAACUACCAUGGAAAAACCUUUGCAGCCACGACCUUAACCAUGUGAUCAGAAUCAGUUACCAACAGGAGGAAAAACUGACAUAAUGUGCUUACUAAUGUGACGCACUGAAAGGAAUAUGUGUUAGUCUUAUCUGAAUCUAAACCUCAGGAAACAGACAUCCCAAACUGAAGGACACUCUACCAAAUAACCAGCAAGUAAGCUCUCCUCAAAAAUGUCAACGUCAUGAACGACAGACUAUGUAAGACAAAGGACCUUGUUCCUAGGAGAUACAAGUUUCUAGGAACACAGGGUCAC
rnacentral:lncRNA from 10 species